rnacentral:rRNA from 1 species
UGGGGAAUAUUGCACAAUGGGCGAAAGCCUGAUGCAGCGAUUCUGCGUGAAGGAUGAAGCCUCGUGGGGUGUAAACUUCUUUUCUGGGGGAAGACGAAUGACGGUACCUCAGGAAUACGGGACGGCUAACUUCGUGCCAGCAGCCGCGGUAAUACGAAGGUCCCGAGCGUUAUCCGGAGUUACUGGGCGUAAAGCGUCUGUAGCCUGGUUUGUAAGUCUAUUUUAAAAUAUCUCAACUCAAUUGGGAAAAGGGAAUAGAUACUGCAUACCUAGAGUAUUAUAGGGGUUAGUAGAAUGUCCUGUGGAGCGGUGAAAUGCGUUGAUAUAGGAAGGAAUGCCAAAAGCGAAAGCAGCUAACUAUAUAUCACUGACGGUGAGAGACGACAGCGUGGGGAGCAAACG